GGAUUAGAUACCCUGGUAGUCCACGCCGUAAACGAUGUCUACUAGCAGCUCGCCUCGUUAGAGGGGUUUUGCGCAGCUAACGCGUUAAGUAGACCGCCUGGGGAGUACGGCCGCAAGGUUAAAACUCAAAUGAAUUGACGGGGGCCCGCACAAGCGGUGGAGCAUGUGGUUUAAUUCGAUGCAACGCGAAGAACCUUACCAUCCCUUGACAUCCAGAGAACUUACUAGAGAUAGUUUGGUGCCUUCGGGAGCUCUGAGACAGGUGCUGCAUGGCUGUCGUCAGCUCGUGCUG
rnacentral:rRNA from 1 species